UUUUUCUUAAGUUUUCGUUCCCCGCAGAAACUUCCCUCCCAUCUCUAACCCUAACCAAACUCUCCCCGCCGCCACAUUCGUCCUCUUCUCAGAUCCAAUCGCCCGUCAAUCCCAGUGCGUGAACACCCUUCUUCCCAAGGCGGCUGGCAGCUCGUAGGAGGAACUCGUCGCCUUCCUCUCCCUCCCUGGCGGGGCUCACCACCGACGGCUGCGUCGUCCUCGCGGGGCUCACCGCCGACGGGCACGUCGCCCUCGCAGGGGUCACCGCCGACGCCCUUGUCUACCACGACUUCGUCUACAGCGGUGCAGAUCUAGGCCGUGCUGCAGUUCGGUGAGGCGGCAUGUUCAUGCUGCUGGUCGUUGCCGCUGCAGCUAGAUCCGGUCGCUGAUGGCAUCCGCCACGGGCUUCCUCCUCGUUUCGUCAACCGCAGGCUCCCGCAUCUUGGUGCUCGCCACGGGCUCCCUUCGUGAGGAAGAGCGACCGCGAGUUUCGUGGUUCUUGUUUCAUGGAGCCCAUUCGUGGUUCUUCGAGCCAUACCACAAGCACAUAUCACACAUACGCGGCCCAGGCAACCUCCACUGCUGAGGACUGUCCGACAGGAUAGAUGAGGAUGGAAGCUUGCUAUCUUUUGUGGAAAAGCAUCGAAGUACCACCUUACACCAUAUAGCAGUACGAAGUUACCUGAUUUGUUAAUUCAAAAGUCUGCCAAGGAUUGAAACUCACCACACCGUAAACUCAACAUAGAAAAGCCCUUUUGCCCUCAACAUAGAACCAACUGCCAUACUUUAAGCAAGCUGGAAGACAUCAGGACAAUAGGACGGAUCAAACAUUGUAAUACUUACUACUGGACGGAGACGCGGAGCUGAAGCUGGUUAGAGUAGGUAACCAUGGUGGCCUUCUUCAUCUACGUCUUUUACAGGAGCUCCAUGAGCUCCAUGUCAGCUCCAGGUCGAAGAAAGAUGAAGCCCGAAGCCCCACAAAGCAAGAGUGGCUACUUAUAAUAGUGCCAGUUAUAUUGUAGUACUGUAAUUAAAUCUGGUUCUAUGAACAAUAUGUAAAAGACUACAAUCGUAAUUUUGGCUACUAUUUCUAGAAUUUUGUAUGUUCUCUUAUUCUGUUUGAAAAAUUUGUUGUUGGUAAACUGUGAGAAAUAAGAACCUGAAGAGUG